UGGUAGAUAUGAAUAACAUGAACCUCAAAGGAAAAGAGAUUACUGAGUGGUGGAGGUAGGGAGAGAACCUGGAAAUGGCAAUAGGGACCAAGGAACAUUCUAACUCCUCCGUUUUGAAUAGUGGUCAAGAAGAAUAAGUGAAGGUGCUGCCAGGACUGGAAAGCAUAGGCAGAGAAGCUAUGUCAUAAUAGUUAGUAGAUGGAAGAAGAGGGAGAAGAAACAAUUUAAGAUGAAAUGGUUUGUUGUCUAUGGAACAGGCUUUCCAGAGGGCACACCAAAAAGGUUGGGUAGUGUUUCAUUGAAACUUUGGGUUGGGAGGGUUGAAGGGAUGAUUAAUAAGGAAUCAGGUGAUAGAGAGUGAGGAAAGGAGUUUGGGUGAUGAUCUACAGGAGAUCAGAAUUACUUUGAUGUGAAAGGUAUGAUAAGAUAUGAGAAUAUUCAUUGAUGAGUUAGAUGGUGCCACUUCACUUCCCAAUGGAGGUUGGAGUUUGGGUUGGAAUUAAAGGCAAUAUGGAAUGCUAGGCACAUGGUUAGAUGGAAGGCCCCAUUUCACAAUUCUUCUUUCCACCCAAGGCAUUAGGUAGGAUUAGGUAGGGACUGGCUGUAGCUAGAGAUAGAAGAGAAAGAAAUCCUGCUUGCUACCAAUUUUUCUCUUCCUCUUUCUUCAAAGGACAGGAAGAAGGCAUGAAGUCCAAGGGAAAGCUACUCCUCUUUGCAUUGGAGGUUCUCCACAUCCAAUUUGGGAGAUUGGGCUGCCAACAGGAUGUGGAAGUUGCUCUGUUCUAGCACAGAUAGAAGUCAUUGCUUUGGGGAAGAAGGAAGAAGGAAGAAGGUGGGGAAUUUUCCCAAAGGGAACAUACUGAGUCCAGCAGGAAAGUAUCAGCUGACCCAGGAUAACCAAAUAACAAGAAUUUCCUCAGUGAAUGCCUUCAAAUAUCAUACUACCCUCAAGAUCUGCUGAGUCAAUCAGGGGUAAGGUGAAGUCCAGCCAAGCCCUGGGAAGGCUUUGCUGGAAUGGCCCUAUCUAGGAUAGCAGGAAAGAGAAAGGAUCUGCUACCAGACAGGAUUAACCCUUGAGAAGCAGUCUGGGCAAUGAAAAGCAUUGAAGAGACCCUGAAGAGAUCCAAAACUCAGCUUUAACAUUACUAUGGGAGUACAG
ensembl:lncRNA